AUAUUAAUCCUGAUAUUAGCUUGAUGCAUAUUUGACAAGAAAUACGUUUCAACAAAAAGCAGUGAAGCAGUUUAAACAAACUAUUGAUUCCAACAAACUACAACUUCAACCGAACAUACCUCCCCAAAACGAUGGAGCGGCUCUAUAAAUCGCAUUGAAAAGUAACUUACAACCUGUUAUCGGUGUUAAGUCGAAUUUAAACUGAGCUUAACCCAAACAAUAACAAAUCGAUAGCGAUAUUCAAAGAAUUCACGAACAAUAUGGCUAAAGACCGGAUAGAAAGGAGAGUUGCAAGGA
rnacentral:sRNA from 1 species